UACGAAGGGGGCUAGCGUUGCUCGGAAUUAUUGGGCGUAAAGCGCACGUAGGCGGUUCGUUAAGUCGGAUGUGAAAGCCCUCGGCUCAACUGAGGAAGUGCACCCGAAACUGGCGAGCUUGAGUACGAAAGAGGAUCGCGGAAUUCCCGGUGUAGAGGUGAAAUUCGUAGAUAUCGGGAGGAACACCGGUGGCGAAGGCGGCGAUCUGGGUCGAUACUGACGCUGAGGUGGCGAAAGCGUGGGGAGCAAACAGG
rnacentral:rRNA from 1 species